AGGUAACGGCCCACCAAGGCGACGAUCCAUAGCCGGCCUGAGAGGGUGAACGGCCACAUUGGAACUGAGACACGGUCCAAACUCCUACGGGAGGCAGCAGUGGGGAAUAUUGCACAAUGGGGGAAACCCUGAUGCAGCGACGCCGCGUGAAGGAAGAAGUAUUUCGGUAUGUAAACUUCUAUCAGCAGGGAAGAAAAUGACGGUACCUGAGUAAGAAGCACCGGCUAAAUAC
rnacentral:rRNA from 1 species